rnacentral:rRNA from 1 species
AGUCGAGGGGUAACGGAAGUAGCUUGCUACUAGACGACGACCGGCGCACGGGUGAGUAACGCGUAUGUAAUCUGCCUUGUACAGAGGGAUAGCCCAGAGAAAUUUGGAUUAAUACCUCAUAGUAUUACUGAAUCGCAUGAUUCGGUAAUUAAAGCUCCGGCGGUACAAGAUGAACAUGCGUGACAUUAGCUAGUUGGUAAGGUAACGGCUUACCAAGGCCACGAUGUCUAGGGGUUCUGAGAGGAUGAUCCCCCACACUGGUACUGAGACACGGACCAGACUCCUACGGGAGGCAGCAGUGAGGAAUAUUGGUCAAUGGACGCAAGUCUGAACCAGCCAUCCCGCGUGAAGGAUGACUGCCCUAUGGGUUGUAAACUUCUUUUAUAUGCAAAUAAACCUACUUUCGUGAAAGUAGCUGAAGGUAGCAUAUGAAUAAACACCGGCUAACUCCGUGCCAGCAGCCGCGGUAAUACGGAGGGUGUAAGCGUNAUCCGGAUUUACUGGGUUUAAAGGGUACG